rfam:Trichoderma reesei QM6a unplaced genomic scaffold TRIREscaffold_25, whole genome shotgun sequence.
ACAUACGACCAUAUCCAUUGGAGAAUACGGGAUCCCGUCUGCUCUCCCAGAGUCAAGCCAAUGAGAGGCAGAUUAGUAGUCAGGUGGGUGACCACUGGCGAACACCGGCUGUUGUAUGUU